rnacentral:rRNA from 1 species
GGGGGAUUUUGCACAAUGGACGCAAGUCUGAUGCAGCGACGCCGCGUGGGGGAUGAAGGCCUUCGGGUUGUAAACCUCUUUCGCUCAUGGUCUAGGCGCUCUUUUGGGAGUGUUGAGUUGAGUGGGUAAAGAAGCGCCGGCUAACUACGUGCCAGCAGCCGCGGUAAUACGUAGGGCGCGAGCGUUGUCCGGAAUUAUUGGGCGUAAAGAGCUCGUAGGCGGUUUGUCGCGUCUGUCGUGAAAACUAGGGGCUUAACUCCUAGCUUGCGGUGGGUACGGGCAGGCUUGAGUGCAGUAGGGGAGACUGGAAUUCCUGGUGUAGCGGUGGAAUGCGCAGAUAUCAGGAGGAAUACCGGUGGCGAAGGCGGGUCUCUGGGCUGUUACUGACGCUGAGGAGCGAAAGCAUGGGGAGCGAAC